AUCUCUUUUACGCCCUAGGCCCACGAUCCCUGCAAUUAUUUCCCCUAAGAUUUCAUCCAAUUCACUAAAAUUUUCUUCACAAUUUCGUCUGAUUCACCAAAUAUUCUUCAUAUUCAUAGUGUUAUAUUACUAAUUCAUUUUCACUUCAUCAAAUUUUACGCUCGUUAUAAUUUUUAGGGUUUUUUCUUCAUUGGCGAUGAAUCCGAGAGGGGGAAGAUAUCCGCCGCCGGGAAUGGGAGGCGGUGGCGGAGGACGUGGCGGCGGAAACAUGUACCCUAACCCUAACGCAAACCCUAAUUUUCAACAAAGAAACCCUCAGCAGCAGUAUGUGCAGAGAAAUCCGAUGAAUCACCAGCAGCAGCACCAGCAGCAGCAUUAUCAGAACCAACAACAGAUAACACAGCAGCAGCAAUGGCUCAGAAGGAGCCAACAGUUGGCGGCGUCUGAUUCGUCGAUCGAUGAGGUUGAAAAAACUGUUCAAUCUGAAGCACUUGACCAGAGUUCACAAGACUGGAAGGCGAGGUUGAACAUCCCAGCACCUGAUACUCGAUACAGGACAGAGGAUGUGACAGCGACCAAGGGAAAUGAAUUUGAAGACUAUUUUCUUAAGCGUGAAUUGCUUAUGGGAAUUUAUGAGAAGGGUUUUGAGAGACCAUCUCCUAUCCAGGAAGAAAGUAUCCCAAUCGCUCUUACUGGGAGUGAUAUUUUGGCUAGGGCCAAAAAUGGAACUGGGAAAACUGCUGCUUUCUGCAUUCCGGCAUUGGAAAAAAUUGAUCAGGACGUCAACGCCAUUCAAGUUGUUAUCCUUGUUCCCACACGAGAAUUGGCUCUUCAAACAUCUCAAAUUUGUAAAGAACUUGGGAAGCACUUAAACAUUGAAGUCAUGGUUACCACUGGGGGUACCAGCUUGAAGGAUGAUAUAAUGCGACUCUAUCAACCAGUUCAUUUACUAGUGGGAACUCCUGGAAGAAUACUUGACCUUGCGAGAAAGGGAAUAUGUGUUUUGAAAGAUUGCUCCAUGCUUAUCAUGGAUGAGGCUGAUAAGCUUCUUUCUCCGGAGUUCCAACCUUCCAUUGUGCAGCUGAUUCGUUUCUUGCCAGCAAAUCGUCAAAUUUUAAUGUUCUCUGCUACAUUCCCUGUCACAGUCAAGGACUUCAAAGAUAGAUUUCUGCAGAAGCCAUAUGUUAUCAACCUUAUGGACGAACUUACUCUCAAGGGUAUAACACAAUUUUAUGCUUUUGUAGAAGAAAGGCAGAAGCUUCACUGCCUCAACACUUUAUUCUCAAAGCUUCAAAUCAACCAAUCAAUUAUCUUCUGUAACUCUGUAAACCGUGUGGAACUUCUCGCCAAGAAGAUCACAGAGCUAGGCUAUUCAUGCUUCUACAUCCAUGCAAAGAUGCUUCAAGAUCACAGGAACAGAGUGUUUCACGACUUCCGCAAUGGUGCCUGCAGGAACCUUGUUUGUACUGAUCUGUUUACUAGAGGGAUUGAUAUUCAAGCAGUCAAUGUUGUUAUAAAUUUUGAUUUCCCCAAGAAUUCAGAGACGUAUUUACACAGGGUUGGGCGCUCAGGGAGAUUUGGGCAUCUUGGUUUAGCUGUGAACCUGAUUACAUUUGAGGAUCGCUUCAAUCUGUAUCGAAUUGAACAAGAGCUAGGAACAGAGAUCAAGCAAAUUCCGCCGCACAUAGAUCAGGCUAUAUAUUGCCAGUGAUCAGUUGGCUGCAUGGUUGAUGGUGUACCAAUGGUGAGUCUUUUGUACAGAAAUCUCAAGUUGAAGGUAUGCGACUCCUGAGAGGCUGAUAGAAUGGAUAACUUGGCUGUUUCAUGGUUGCUGAGCGAUGGAGUUCAUCUUAGAUCUAAUGACAAAAUUUAAGUGAUCCAAAAGAAUUUAGCAGUACAUACUGACACUGGAUAGGUCCGGUCAGAGACUGACUGUUGGUGAGUCCCCUGGUUUAUGUAGUUUUUGGCAUUUGUCGUUGUUUCCUUUUCGCUGUAUGUCCGCCGGAUAAAGCUGUAAAAGUAGUUGCUCUAUGGUAUUUGGAUCAAUAUUCAUCUCAUCUGACGGCAUAUAUCAAUGUGGGGAUUGGUGGUGGAAAAGUGAUGCCUAAAGAUAUCUCCCAACAUCUUAAGUGAUGGAGUAAUCAUUUCGUGAAUUUACAGAGAUGAAUAUUAGAGGUUCAAGCACUGUCUCAGUAUUUGUGUAGAAGCAUGUGUUCCAAGGGCUCUGUACUCCUUUCAGCUCUUAUAGCUUUUAUCCUGUUAUGUUCGCGUUUGGAAUUAUCAAGCAGGUUAUGUCUGCAUGAAUGUAGUCAGUUUGGCUGAUGUGAAGAGUAUGAUUUUAUUUUAUCUAUUUCUGGAUUUCUAUGA